rnacentral:tRNA from 1 species
UGCGGAUUGAUGUAAUGGUAACAUAGUUGGCUCAUGCCCAGCAUAUAAAGGUUCAAGUCCUUUGUCCGCACACA